rnacentral:lncRNA from 1 species
GGGGGGGGGGGUAUUCCCUACUUGACGAUUAUCCACAUAACUCGCUGUAGAAAUCAAAUUUAUAAAUUCCGUAGACUCAUACAAGCUAGUUGGACACGUGGCAAGCCUAUGAUGAAACGUGGCCCGUCGCGUCACGCGACGCCCCUAUGGGACCCCUCGCGUCACGCGAGGGGGUCAAAUUUCAGCUAUAAAUAGAAGGGGUUACGAGCAGCUCAAAAACACAGUAGCGAGGCGCUGCUACGAUACAGGGUAUUAACUCGAUCGCUGCUACAAUUCAAUGUCCGAUCUAUUGAAACUAUCCGACCGGAUGUUUAAGUGCUAUCCUUUGUCAUUAGUCGUGAUUCCAACAGGAUGUUUGAGUACCACCCGAACUCGGGGAAUACUCUGUCAUUCGUUGCGAAUCCGAUGGAUGUUUAAGUGAUUACACUUUGUCAUUUGUCGUGAGGGUUUUAAUCUCGUGAGUUAUCGUAAAUGUUGUAUUAGUUAAUUACCUAGUUUCGUGUGCAUUAUCGCUUAAAUUAGGUUAUCAGGCUUAUCAGUAGACUAAACACUACCCCAUACACUUACAAUCAAAGUAGAUGCUAAUUCUCAGAAGAAUCUGAAUCAUGAAGCUUGUUAAUUCAAUACUGCAUGCUUAUAAUGUAAUUACAGUAGAUUGGAGUAAGAGUUGGAUACGGCACCGAAAAGGCUUACAGAAGUGGCUUGAUUUAUCAAUUAAAUAAAAAUUAAGAAAAGUUGUUUUAUGUAUCAAGUUUAUAUUAAAAAG